GAUGAACGCUGGCGGCGUGCCUAAUACAUGCAAGUCGAGCGAACAGACGAGGAGCUUGCUCCUCUGACGUUAGCGGCGGACGGGUGAGUAACACGUGGAUAACCUACCUAUAAGACUGGGAUAACUUCGGGAAACCGGAGCUAAUACCAGAUAAUAUAUUGAACCGCAUGGUUCAAUAGUGAAAGACGGUUUUGCUGUCACUUAUAGAUGGAUCCGCGCCGCAUUAGCUAGUUGGUAAGGUAACGGCUUACCAAGGCAACGAUGCGUAGCCGACCUGAGAGGGUGGUCGGCGACACGGGAACAGAGACACGGUCCAGACUCCUACGGGAGGCAGCAGUAGGGAAUCUUACGCAAUGGGGGAAAGCCUGACGGAGCAACGCCGAGUGAAUGAUGAAGGUCUUCGGAUCGGAAAACUCUGUUAUUAGGGAAGAACAAAUGUGUAAGUAACUAUGAACGUCUUGACGGUACCUAAUCAGAAAGCCACGGCUAACUCCGUG
rnacentral:rRNA from 1 species